GCUACGUGAGGCUGCAGUGAGGAAUAUUGGUCAAUGGGCGAGAGCCUGAACCAGCCAAGUCGCGUGAGGGAGUACUGCCCUAUGGGUUGUAAACCUCUUUUGUCGGGGAGCAAAAGCCGGACGUGUCCGGCUGUGAGAGUACCCGCAGAAAAAGCCUCGGCUAACUCCGUGCCAGCAGCCGCGGUAAUACGGAGGAAGCGAGCGUUAUUCGGAUUUAUGGGGUGUAAAGGUUGCGCAGGCGGAUUUUUAAGUCAGUGGUCAAAUCGUGGGGCUCAACCCCAUCCAGCCGUUGAACCUGGGGAUCUAUAGUGUGCGUGAGGUAUGCGGAAUGAGUGGUGUAGCGGUGAAAUGCAUAGAUAUCACGCAGAACCCCGAUUGCGAAGGCAGCAUACCGGUGCACAACUGACGCUCAGGCACGAAAGCGUGGGUAUCGAACAGGAUUAGAUACCCGAGUAGUC
rnacentral:rRNA from 1 species